CGAUGAAGCCCAGCUUGCUGGGUGGAUUAGUGGCGAACGGGUGAGUAACACGUGAGUAACCUGCCCCUGACUCUGGGAUAAGCCCGGGAAACUGGGUCUAAUACCGGAUAUGACCAUGGGACGCAUGUCUUGUGGUGGAAAGAUUUAUCGGUUGGGGAUGGACUCGCGGCCUAUCAGCUUGUUGGUGAGGUAAUGGCUCACCAAGGCGACGACGGGUAGCCGGCCUGAGAGGGUGACCGGCCACACUGGGACUGAGACACGGCCCAGACUCCUACGGGAGGCAGCAGUGGGGAAUAUUGCACAAUGGGCGCAAGCCUGAUGCAGCGACGCCGCGUGAGGGAUGACGGCCUUCGGGUUGUAAACCUCUUUCAGUAGGGAAGAAGCGAGAGUGACGGUACCUGCAGAAGAAGCGCCGGCUAACUACGUGCCAGCAGCCGCGGUAAUACGUAGGGCGCAAGCGUUAUCCGGAUUUAUUGGGCGUAAAGAGCUCGUAGGCGGUUUGUCGCGUCUGCCGUGAAAGUCCGAGGCUCAACCUCGGAUCUGCGGUGGGUACGGGCAGACUAGAGUGAUGUAGGGGAGACUGGAAUUCCUGGUGUAGCGGUGAAAUGCGCAGAUAUCAGGAGGAACACCGAUGGCGAAGGCAGGUCUCUGGGCAUUUACUGACGCUGAGGAGCGAAAGCAUGGGGAGCGAACAGGAUUAGAUACCCUGGUAGUCCAUGCCGUAAACGUUGGGCACUAGGUGUGGGGGACAUUCCACGUUUUCCGCGCCGUAGCUAACGCAUUAAGUGCCCCGCCUGGGGAGUACGGCCGCAAGGCUAAAACUCAAAGGAAUUGACGGGGGCCCGCACAAGCGGCGGAGCAUGCGGAUUAAUUCGAUGCAACGCGAAGAACCUUACCAAGGCUUGACAUGUUCCAGACCGCCUCA
rnacentral:rRNA from 1 species